UGAUAACACCCUUCUGACUGCAUUCUGCACUUAUUAGUGGAAGUGACACCCUCUGAGCCAGCAGUUCCGUGAACCCAGGCACGCUUUUUCCCCAGUGCCUGCUAUCCCAGCUGCUUUUCUCUCCAGCCUGUCCCAGGGCCCUGCCUCCUCAGCUGCACCAGCACUGCGGGUCCUGGCAUCGUUCUGGAAUCACUGUUCUGCAGAUGGAGUUGGCCUGAAAUUGACACCAAAUUUCAAAGAAGAGAAGCAUUUUUGAUCCCAUGUAUGUGUAUUGGCAGGCAUGAUGUGUAUCCUUGUGAAGCCUCAGAGCAGGGGCCUUGCAUUGUGCAGUCGAGGGAGUCACGCUGGUUCUCACACUCAACCAGGUGCACUGCUGUGGCCUCACACACCUCUCUGACAGGUUGUAAAAUGAAUGUCCUGUACAAAUUGGCUUUGGACGUCAUGUUGCUGGACAGCUGAGAAACGAUGUAGCCACAGCUGACCCUCUCCUCCUCCCUGAAGACAAAUUACAUUUUUCACCUUAUAUUUUUGCAAUUACACUAUCAGGGUCUGAGAUUAUAUGGCACAUGCUUAAAAAGGAAGGAUUUUUAUACAAACCAAAGUCCUUCAAUUGCCUACCAAAAAAGGCUUUAUUAUUCGCUAUGGGAAAUCUCUGUGUUAGACAGAAAUGUCUAAUAUGAAUAAAAUAUGCCAACUUCAAACAGUACACCUGAUUUUCCAUUUCUUGCUCAUCCAAAUCACCUGGCAAACUCAUCAAGAGAUUUGGUGCACUAACACAUAUUCUAGCCAAGUAGUUAAACCACCGCUGAAAUAUUUUGCAGGUUGGCUGCUUUUAAUCAGUUUUGUAAUCUGUAAUCUUAAAAAGAUCUUUUCUUUACAGCAUGCUUUUUCUUGCUUAUUUGGUUCAAAAACUUUCUGAGGCAGAGAUGGCCCAUACUAUAGAAUUCUACAAUAUACAAUAUCCAGUUCUGGAGGAGCCUUUUCAGUAUCAUUAUAACGCCACGCAGGAAAUGAGGAGUGAACACUUGGUUUCUGAGCAUAUGCAUCACUGGCAUUGCUCCUACCGUUACAGCUAACAACCAUCCAAGACAAGACAGGUAUAGAGGCCAGGCUGCGGUAACAUGGCUCAGUAAAUCUGGCUUCAGAGUACUUAAUGGUGAAUCAGAGUAGUUACCGGCACAAACAGUAAAAUUUCAGGUCUGGUUCAAAUUUAUCCUACCUAAUAAAAAGUGUUUGCUUUGUUUUAAAGUAAUAAAUUUCUUCU